ACGCUCGACACCUACGGGAGGCAGCAGUGGGGAAUAUUGCACAAUGGGGGAAACCCUGAUGCAGCGACGCCGCGUGAGCGAAGAAGUAUUUCGGUAUGUAAGCUCUAUCAGCAGGGAANAAACUGACGGUACCUGACUAAGAAGCACCGGCUAAAUACGUGCUAGCAGCCGCGGUAAUCUGAGCGGGCUGGCAAGGC
rnacentral:rRNA from 1 species